CAGAAUUAUAGAACUUACUAUUGAAUAUAUUGUUCACUCCUUCCCUCCAAAUUUAUAUAUAUGCAAGGAAGGUCCAUGAUUUAUAAUUCUUCAAUCUUCAUUAAUUAAUAAGCUCUCAUGUAUUAUUGCUGAAGAUCAGGUUCGCCGCAAAAGGCGUCCGGUUCAAAUGAUUUUGCAGAUUCAUCACUGUAAACUCCAGUUCGCACUUCUUCAUCAUAUCUAUCUUCUCUAUUUCGAACGGUGUUCAUCAUGCCAAAGAAGGUACAUUCAGAGAAGAAGAAAGCUAGCGCCUUCUGCGAAAUGCAGGCCAAGGUUGAGAAAGAGAUGGACGGUGGUUAAGGUUGUUGAAGAUAGAAACCUGACUCUUACCCUUCAAGGGAAAAACUGAGACAGUUAAUUUCUUUUUCAAUUGUGCUUUUGAUUUGGAAGGUGUUCAAUACUUGAUAACUUUUCAGACGUUAUAGAUAGAAUUGAAGGCACAAUUUUGAAACAGUAUUCUAGACUCACAGAAAUUCCAAAGCAAUGAUGCACUCAAUAAUGUGCAGGAUCUUGACAUUAUGAUCUUCUCCCUUUGGGAACAGGUUGCUGUUGCCUGUAUGAAGGUAUGGAAUAUACACAGGUAUGAAAGAUGUAUCUAAAUUUUUUUAACUCCAUGAAAUUAAAUGAAUUUAUUUGGAUGCAAGAGCUGCAGAUGUUGAAUGAGAAAUGCAAUCUGGAGAGGCAAUUCUCUGAGCUAAGAAAUGGCAAAUGCAGAGUGGGCAAAUUGAGCGGAAUGGUUGAAGGUGGCAAAUUGAGCAGAGUUGAAGGGCACAAAAUCAGUGUCUCUAAGGGAGCAUAGCUGAAAGGGGAGGUUGAGAGAAUGAAUGCUAAGCCAAGGAUGGAGAAACUAGAGCUGAUUUACUCUCCGAGGCAAGCGUUGAGUAUGAGACCAAGGAAUCUUCAUCUCUUAGAAACAUAUCAGUGGUGAUUUGUUACAAAUGAAUGUGCCUUCAAGAAUUAGCAGGGAGUAUAAGUGGAGGAGAGAGUGUUCCAGCACCAAAAGCAUCUCCUGAAGCUUGGCAAGGAUUGUUAUGAUGUUCUUAGAGGAGAAUAAGAAUACUGCUGCUUUGACAACUAAAGCUAAGGUCAGGAAGGUUGUCAGUUUUGAAAAGGACUGAAAAAUUCUUGAGGAAAGAGGUUUUAUAAUGUUAGCUUUGCUUAGCCAUGAUUGCAGUGCUCAAAGGAGGCACCAACAGGUACUACUAAAAAGUAUUAUAGCCCAAAAGUUUUUAAAAGUUCAGAAGCUCUUGGAUUAAACAAACUCAUAUUUGCCAAUGAGCCAUAAUUCACACAGCAUUCCGCCCCUUUCCUAUCCCAAAGGUCUUGGGUUCGAGUCCUACCAGCUGCAACCGAGAAGAAAAAAUUGGUAAGUAUGUGAGAAGUGUGUGAGUGUAUAUUGUGUACCGAGAAUUGGGAGUUGUCCAAUCCACUGACAAAAAAAAAAAAAACUCAUUUAAAUUACUAUUGACAAGGAAAAACCAUUGGUCUUAACUUGUGUUGCACAUGUAAUAUCACAUAUAGUUCCCCUAAAUGGCUCAUGAACUAGUAGAGGAUGAAGGAGUUUUUUUUAGAAGAUUCCAAAUAUGCUACCAGUUUAUAAAAGCUACAGAAAAAAAAAAAGCAA